CCUUCAUUUAGCAACUAGAAGUCUGAGCAUCCAGAUCACAAAUCACUUCCCACUGGUGCACACAACCUAUUACAGGAAAGCAGGACAUGCCUGUGUGUGGAUAGAUGUGGGGACAGGGCAGAGGGGGAAGGGUCAGUAUCAGACAGUCAAGCACUGCAGAGCUAGCCUUACCAGCUGAAUACUAAUCAAUGAAAUAAGCUCCCAUCAUUUCAACAUUUGCAAACUCUAAGACACCCUUAACAUAAAAGAAGGAAAGCUCUGGGAAACAACACGGGAAAUUUCCUGGCCUCAGUAAUCAUUUUCUCUGUAGCAUCAGUGCCAGACUCUCAGAUCAAACAAGACAGACACUUAGGCUUGGCAGAAAAGACCGAGAUAGUCAGGACUUAGUGUUGCCUGUAUUCUGCAGAAGUCUGUGGUCCUCCCUUCCCCCACUCUACCUCCCCGAUCGUCUGUGAGACUUCCCAAAGAGUCAGAGAGAUGCUAUUGUUCUCUUAUGUUUCAGAAGGUGCACACACGCUUUUAUCAUUAGGGCUCUUACUUCCCACGGUUUCCCUACCAUACGUGCUGCCGGUGCCCCGGCGGCCGUUCCCAGCCGCGCUACCCGCGGACGCUCCCCGGGCCGCCCCGCCGGUCCCUUCCCCGCCGCCCCCGAGCAGGCGGAAACCGAAACUUCCCCUGCGCCGCGGCAGCGCUGCCCUGCUGACUGCGCAAAGCCACAGCCCCGCUGCCCAGCAGAAUCAGUUUAGGGACACGGGUGAGAAAAAGAACCGCACGCAGCCCUUGCCUGCAACUACUCCGAUCUGCUUGUACCUACAUGGGAGGGGGAAGGGGAGAGGAAAGCAAGGAAAGGCACAGGUGCAGCCGGCACUUACCUGCUCCCCCCCUCCCUCGGCUGCCCAGCGCAAUUGUCCCAGAAGCCGCUAUCAGUUGAGUUCCUGAGGCGUGAAGGCAAAGUCGCAAAACUAAUCCGAACUUGCGGGUUCCCUCCUUUACAGUUUUGCCCUUUCAGUCUCCCCAGCCUGCCCUACUUCUGCUUGCAAAAUCCGCACCUCCUUCCCCGGCCCGUUCGCUUAGCCGGCGGUGAGGAAGCCGGGGGCUACAGGGCAGUGAGCUGAUGGGCCAGGUUCCCUCUCCAGGUCCCGGCGAAGCUCUCCCGGGGCAAGACAUGGACCUACUCAAGGGACCUAAAACCCCGUAAUCCUACUGCCCUCCGCCUCCCCAGCGCUGUGCUGUCCCUCCUACUCCCCCCCCCGCCUAUAAACCGGGGAGGUAGGGGGAGGGAAAUGAAGGGGGGAGGAGAGGAUUAAAAAAAAAUACAUGGAAUAAAUAAAACAGGUGUUUUCAUACAGUAAACGGUGGAGAGAGGCGACUGUGCCCAUGCUGGGGCUCUGCGCAGCGGCAGGAGGUGAAGGCACAGUGUCAUGCUGGGGUUGGUGUCUGGCAGCAUCCACGCACAGCUCCGCAACCCCGGAGCUGCCCGGGGAAGCCACUCUGAGAAAUGAAUAUCUGCUUUGUUUGGACUUGGUCCGGCUAGGAAAGCGGCAGCACAAAGUUUCUGCCUCAUUUCAGCACUGCUGAAGCCUUUUGGAUCUGCAGAAUGAAACAAAUCUACAACUGAGACGUGAUCAGCCAGGAGUCAGGAUGCCUCCUGAAAAAAAAAGAAGAAAAAAAGCAGCAGAGGUUCCAAGUGUUGGCAGAGCUGCUGAACUGACAUUUUCCACGGACAAAAAUAUUUUUAACACCUACUGUUUUUAGAACAAUGGAUUGUACCAAGGGCAACUGUAAGAAAUGAGCCUUGGCCAACAAAAUGUCUUUUGAUUUAUAGUUUUACCAGAAAGGCAUUCUCAACAUACCAUGAACAAACUAAUAAUGUGCAUUUAUAAUUAACUUUAAUUCCUAUUACACAUGAUACAUUAUACUAUGAAGUGUGGUGUCAACAAUAAUAUAGUAAUCUGAGGGCAGUUACCUCUUUAAAAAACCUGAACAAAACCAAUUAGUUUAGAUCACAAAAUAUUUUUUUACAUCAUUUUAAUUUCUGAAUGUGUUUGUAGCAUUUGAAUACACGAGUGCAAACAUGCAUGAGUAUUUUAGUAAAUGCAAUAUGUAACUCCUAUGUGUUCCUCAUUUUUUAGCUUAAUUUUCAGACGUGAUUUUCAAUGUCACCAUUCUAAUCAGAAAGGCAAUUCAGCAUCAUGGCAUUUGUGAACUGAAGAAGUGGUUUAAAGAGGGCAACUAGAAGCAAUCUUCAUUCUCCAAGUUAUGGAGCAUCUGAGUGCAUGGUUACAACGUAAUAAGAUGUAUUCAGGCAAGAAAAUCCUGAAACAUGAUUGCACACAGUUGCUUAAGAUUGUAAUUAAGGAUUCUUCUUUCCUUUGUCCUCUUUCCCCCAAUCCCUAAUUCAUCUUUCACAACUUAAUCAAAAUAAGACUCUUUGCACUGAUCCUUAGAGGACAAGGUUCAAGGACAGAUUAUCUUUUUUCAUCACUAAAUAUCACAAACACCUCUGCUUUAUCUUCUUUCAAAUUUGUUCUGAGACAUAACCAGUACUUCUUGGAAACCUUAUCUUUUCCUACUUAAUUCAGUUUCUGUGACUUCAGUGGUGAAAAUAGAACAGUUUAAAAAGCAAAAACAAACAAACAAACAAACAAAAGUUUGUUUGGGAAUUAAAAAAAAAAAAAAAAGAAAACCACAAAAACCAAUAACAACAACCAACAAAAACAACAACAAAAACACAAAAACACUAAAACACAAAAAAAACCCAAACCAACCAACUAGCCAAAACUACAAGGGGCAGCACCGUCAAACUCACUCUGCUCUACAGAUUUCAGAUUCAAAAUAGGGACUGAACAGUUUUACAGUCACUUAAAAUCUAUAAAGGAAGGAUUCUUUCUCCUUAAUUUUGGUUCUGAUCCAGAUAUUUCUAAUGUAGAAUUGGAAUAGCCAAUUAUCACCCAAUUAAAAAGCUUUCAUGUGUAGACCUUCACAGAGUAUUUCAUGAUGUUCUUACUAACUUAACAGACCUCUCUCAAGGAUGUGCUUUAUGUUCCAAAAUCUAUAUUCUCUCUAGCAAAACCUUUCAUUAAACUGUAUGCCUGUGAAAACAUUUGAACUUAUUUUUACCAUGUUGAAAAUAGGGUAGAUAUUUCUGUCCGAUUGUUUUUCUAAAUGCUUAUGCUGUCAUAUCAAAAUAAAAUGUAUUAAACCCUUUGA